AACCGAGGUGCAAGGGCUGUCGCUGACCUUUGAAGGUCGUGCACGCCCGAGCGCUCUCGCCACAAUCCAUCUCACCCCUUUGUGCAUCACCGCGUGGGUCCCCCUUUGCGGGGAGGGCUCGCGUUUUCACACAAAACUUGAUACAGUCUAGAAUGUUUAUUUUUGCGGUAACACGCAAUCAAUACAACUUUCAACAACGGAUCUCUUGGCUCUCGCAUCGAUGAAGAACGCAGCGAAAUGCGAUACGUAAUGUGAAUUGCAGAAUUCAGUGAAUCAUCGAAUCUUUGAACGCACCUUGCGCCCCUUGGCAUUCCGAGGGGCACACCCGUUUGAGUGUCGUGAAAUUCUCAAAAUCCUUUUCUUUGAUCGGAAUAGGACUUUUGGACUUGGAGGUUCGAUGCUCGCUUUCGCCUUUGAAAGCGAGCUCCUCUCAAAUGAAUCAGUGGGGUCCGCUUUGCUGGUCCUUGACGUGAUAAGAUGCUUCUACGUUUUGGAUUUGGCAUUGUUUUCUCCGCUCCUAACUGUCCCAUGGGACAACGAUGGUGCUUCGGUCGUCGCCAUCUA
rnacentral:rRNA from 1 species